CCCGCACCCGGAGAACAUUAUUUCAACAGACAGAUAUUUGGAAACCGUCGUUGUCCUAGAUAUGGGGGGAGGGGCAGUUCAUCCAGCCCUCGAUCCUGCGAGGGGACGGAUGGGACCAGACUGAGCUGAGCGCCAAUCAGAGCAGCGUACAGCCCCCAACGCCAAUGCCUCGUUUAUUUUCCCGAUGCUCCUGUCCACACCAUUCCUCUACCUGCCGCAGCUUUUAACCAAGACGUGCUCUUCAAAACCUGGUUCAAGUUUCACCACCACUGGGCAACUUCUUGUUUUGGAAUUAAGAGCUUGAAGCCUGACACCAGGGUGCUCCGGCUUUACAGGCAAAUCCCUUAACCUUCGUAAACCCAAGUUUUCUCAUCUGUGACACCAGCUCAGUGGGCUGAAGAACGCCCCCCACGAAGACAUCAGAGUCCACCUCCUGGACAUCUAUGAAACCGUCACCUUACGUGACUGUGAGCCGUUCGAGCAGCUCCCAGGCUUGGGAUCCCCAACUCUGGCACAGAGCAGGUGCUCUACACACAGCGAGCAAAUGAAUGAAUGAAUGAAUGAAGUGCCACUUGUCUGUACGCAAGGUGGCUUUAAUCACACAGCAGAAUCCUAGACAGAGGAAGACAAAAUUCUUGAAGCCAUGGGACCAAGCCUCAGAAUCCAAACGCCAGAAGAGAUCUCUGGAAAUGGUUGGAUCAUUCCUGCAGGGCGGACAGCAAGAUGUCCAAUCAUCCAACGGGUCUAGUCUCCACUCUGAAUUUCCAGGAGGUUUAUCCUGGAGAACAGUAUGAGAAGCGGUGCCCAGCGAUCAUUUUCUAUCUGCAGAAGCAGUCUACACAGCUGGCCGCUGCCUCCAGGCUAGGGGUGGGGGAGCGGGGGUGUCCUGGCAACACUUGCGAUGGGCAGCUGCUGGCGACGGUGAAGCAGACGGUCACCAUGCAGUGGCCUCCACUAUGCGCCAGACAUGGUAUAAAGCACCUACAUCAGUAUUUCGUUUCAUGCUCAAAUAUCUAUUAUUAUUCCUAUUUACCAAGGAAGAAGUUGAAGUUUUGGCAGGCUUCACACAAUUGCCCUUGGUCACACAGAGCGCAAGCAGUUGGGCCAAGAUUCUAACCCCCAUCUGUUGGCCUUGAGAGCCCAUUCUUACAACCACCAGCCGUUACUGCCGGUCCAACCCCCGUGUGCUCAGACUGCAUGUCUUCUGUAGAAGUGCAUAGGACCUUGGGACAGACGCCUGGCAUGCUUGUCCGUGUCCCCAUCCAGAGCCACUUGACAAUAUUACGUGUCAGAUCUGCUCUAGGUCAGGAUUUGCUCCGUUCUCCAUACACCGGGUACGGAGACGUGAGCCAGCCCAGUGGGGACCACAGAUCCUGAACAAUCACCACAGGGUAGUAAGGGCAUGGACAGUGGGGCACAGGAGGCCAUGAGGACCCAGUUGUGGGCAUCUAAAACUGAGGAGCAUCAGACAUAAAGUUUUCUUGGUGACAGCCAAACACAUGGUGGGUUUUGACCCAUUUUGGAAGGGGCUACGCCAAGUCAAGGAAACCAAAUAUACAAAGACCCGGAGGUAAGAGUACAGUACAUUCAGGAAAACACAGGUCAUCUGAGUGACCAAAGGGGAGUCGUGGAGGGAGUGACAAAGCUCAAGCAGGGACCAGAGAUAGAGUUCAGCAUGAAGGAUGCUCUGGGCCCUAAGGGCAAUGGGACCUUAUGGAAGGAGUUGUAAGCAAGGUAAGGACUUGGUGAA